rnacentral:rRNA from 1 species
GGUCAAGUGAAGAAGCGCAUACGGUGGAUGCCUUGGCAGUCAGAGGCGAUGAAAGACGUGGUAGCCUGCGAAAAGCUUCGGGGAGUCGGCAAACAGACUUUGAUCCGGAGAUGUCUGAAUGGGGGAACCCAGCCAUCAUAAGAUGGUUAUCUUGUACUGAAUACAUAGGUGCAAGAGGCGAACCAGGGGAACUGAAACAUCUAAGUACCCUGAGGAAAAGAAAUCAACCGAGAUUCCCUUAGUAGUGGCGAGCGAACGGGGACUAGCCCUUAAGUGGCUUUGAGAUUAGCGGAACGCUCUGGAAAGUGCGGCCAUAGUGGGUGAUAGCCCUGUACGCGAAAAUCUCUUAGUCAUGAAAUCGAGUAGGACGGAGCACGAGAAACUUUGUCUGAAUAUGGGGGGACCAUCCUCCAAGGCUAAAUACUACUGACUGACCGAUAGUGAACUAGUACCGUGAGGGAAAGGCGAAAAGAACCCCGGAGAGGGGAGUGAAAUAGAUCCUGAAACCGUAUGCGUACAAGCAGUGGGAGCAGACUUUGUUCUGUGACUGCGUACCUUUUGUAUAAUGGGUCAGCGACUUAUUUUCAGUGGCGAGCUUAACCGAAUAGGGGAGGCGUAGCGAAAGCGAGUCUUAAUAGGGCGUCUAGUCGCUGGGAAUAGACCCGAAACCGGGCGAUCUAUCCAUGGGCAGGUUGAAGGUUGGGUAACACUAACUGGAGGACCGAACCGACUACCGUUGAAAAGUUAGCGGAUGACCUGUGGAUCGGAGUGAAAGGCGAAUCAAGCUCGGUGAUAGCUGGUUCUCCUCGAAAGCUCUUGGGGGAGCGCCUCAGGUCUCACGGGGGGGGGGCG